CAAUGGUAUCAGAGUAUAAUAACGUUAUUCGGAAAAUCCAUUUGAAUUCUAUUUGACCUUUGAACGUGGUUUUUGAGGAAGACUUUAUUUUAUUCCAGUGUAUAUUUUAAAAACUCUAAAGGUCGACGGAGACGUUGGAGUUUUGUUUAAAUUUGACAAAAUCUAAUUCUGAAUGGGAAUUAGUACGAUACCUAUCGACUGUACAAAACCUGGGAGACCUGUUGACUUUGACAAAGAUCUGUUACUGUCUGAAAUUGAAACUGAGCCCAAACAAACUAUCGAGGAAUUAGCCACGAAGCUUAAGACUUUGUGGUCUACGAUACAACGGUGUUUAAAACAGCUGAAUAAAUUGCAAAGAGCUGGAAUAUGGGUCUUUCGUGAACUUUCAGUUAAAAACAAAAUUCAGCGUGUACGCAUUUGCAGUUAAUUUUUGUUGAGGUUAAACGGAUUUAAUUUUCAUCGACAAAUUGUUGCGGGAAAUGAAAAGUGGAUUCUAUUCAGCAAUCUGAAUAAGAAAAACAAUGGUUGACAUCACGGUAAAUACUUUUCCCAACUCUAAAACCGAGUCUUCACCUUAAAAAGCUUGAUUGAUUAAGCGUGACAUUGUUACAAAAACGUCUAAGACUGAUAAAUCGAAGGGCUGUUAUUCUCCAACAUGAUAAAGCAAGACCACAUAGUGCCAGAAUCAUCCGAGAAAGAAUCAAGAAAUUAUGCUGGGAAGUACCAUGAAGCAUUAUCCCCGCGGAAAAAAAUUACCUCGUACAGCAUCUAUCAAAACUGCAAGCGAAAAAUAUUUUACUUCAAAAACACCAUUCUACAACAAGGGAAUUCAAAGUUUGCCAAAGAGAUGGGAGAAGAUCGUCAAUAACGAUGGAGGUUUUAUUAUUAACUAAAAAUGUAUUAACUCUUCGCAAAAAAACAAUUUUCUACAGUAUCGAAAAACGACAUUACUUAUAGUAACUUUAAUAUUUCAA